GUCUGAUGAACACCUAGAUGACGAGUCUGAUUCGGGUCCACCGUUGGAGACAACCUUUUAAAUUAUACCAUUCAUGCCUAACUGAUA
rnacentral:snoRNA from 1 species